rnacentral:rRNA from 1 species
GUCUACGGCCAUAACCUGAAGGAACCCAAUCCGAUCUGAUCUUGGAAGCUAAGCAGGGUUGGGCCUGGUUAGUACUUGGAUGGGAGACCACCUAGGAAGAUCAAGUGCUCUAGGCA